UACGAAGGGGGCUAGCGUUGUUCGGAAUUACUGGGCGUAAAGCGCACGUAGGCGGACUAUUAAGUCAGGGGUGAAAUCCCGGGGCUCAACCCCGGAACUGCCUUUGAUACUGGUAGUCUGGAGUCCGGAAGAGGUGAGUGGAAUUCCGAGUGUAGAGGUGAAAUUCGUAGAUAUUCGGAGGAACACCAGUGGCGAAGGCGGCUCACUGGUCCGGUACUGACGCUGAGGUGCGAAAGCGUGGGGAGCAAACAGG
rnacentral:rRNA from 1 species